AUUGAACGCUGGCGGCAUGCCUUACACAUGCAAGUCGAACGGUAACGGGCCUUCGGGUGCCGACGAGUGGCGAACGGGGGAGUAGGACAUCGGAACGUGCCCGAUCGUGGGGGAUAACGAGGCGAAAGCUUUGCUAAUACCGCAUACGAUCUACGGAUGAAAGCAGGGGACCGCAAGGCCUUGCGCGGACGGAGCGGCCGAUGGCAGAUGAGGUAGUUGGUGGGAUAAAAGCUUACCAAGCCGACGAUCUGUAGCUGGUCUGAGAGGAUGAUCAGCCACACUGGGACUGAGACACGGCCCAGACUCCUACGGGAGGCAGCAGUGGGGAAUUUUGGACAAUGGGCGCAAGCCUGAUCCAGCCAUGCCGCGUGCAGGAUGAAGGCCUUCGGGUUGUAAACUGCUUUUGUACGGAACGAAAAGCCUUCUUUUAAUACAGGAGGGUCAUGACGGUACCGUAAGAAUAAGCACCGGCUAACUACGUG
rnacentral:rRNA from 1 species